rnacentral:rRNA from 1 species
UGUUAGGUAUUGCAUAUCAAAGGUAAAAAAUUUUAUAAAAAUAAAAAAUAAAAAUAAAAGGUAGAAAUUAUGUUGUUUUUGUUGUUUCAUAACAAAAAAUAUAUAAUUUAGGGUUGAAAAGUCGACUUUUAUAAUAUUUGUUUGUAAAUAAAUUAUUAGAAAUUUAUAAUUUAAAAGUGUAAUAUUGUUAAAAUAAAAGUUAAAGUAUUUGUUUUUUUUGUUUUAUAACAGUUAAUAAUAUUAAUUUUUUUUUUUAAUGUAAAUUAUUGUUGUUGCAAUAAUUAAAAUAUUAUUUUAUUAGUAAAUAAAUUUUAUAUUUUUUUUUAGGUUAAUAUAAUAAAAAAAUUAAAAGUUUAAUCAAAUGUUUUUUAAAGACUUAGACUUUUUAUUAAAGUUUGCUUCUGCCCAAUGAAAAAAUUAAAUGGCAGUCUUAGCGUGAGGACAUUAAGGUAGCAAAAUAAUUUGUGCUUUUAUUGAGUUCCAGUAUGAAUGAAGUUAUUGGUUAAUAAUUUUUUUAUUUUAUAAUUGAAUUUUUUUUUUUAUAAAAAAAUAUAAUUACUAUUAUACAAAGAUAAGUCUUCGGAAAUUUUAUUUAUAUAAUUUUAAUAAAAAUAUAAAGUUUUCUAGGGCAGAAUUUUAUUUAAUUUUUAAAUCUAUAGUUAAUAAAAAAAAUUACUCCGGAGUUAACAGAAAAUCAUAUCUAAUCUAGUUCUUAUAGUAAGAUAAGUUUUACAUCGAUGUUGUAUUUAAAUAAUUUAAAAAAGGAGAAAUUUUAAAAAUUAAGACUGUUCUUCUUUUAAUUAAUUUAACGUGAUAUUAGUUUAAUUCAUUGUAAGAUAGAAUUGUUUAUCUUGAUAAUGGUUAAUAUUAAAUGUUAUGAGUACGAAAGGAAAAUUAUAAAAAUUUAAAAUUUUAUAAAUUAUUAAAUUUUA